UAGGUCCCGCCCCCUCGCCACCGCGGCGCCACCUGGGAAUUGUAGUCCGCCUUCCGCUCCGUCCCGUCGUGGGACUUUUUGCCCUCCAGUUCCCGGGUCCCUCAGGUGGCCACCCCAGUGGGCACAGGCCCAGGCGCCGCUCCUGCCCCGCGCUCCCUCCCUCUGCCUUUCACUUCCCAGCUGCCAAGAUCUUGGAAGCCAAACCAGACCCAAAUGAACCGUGAUAUUCUGGCCCUGCAGCAAUACCACUAAUAGGAGCAGGCAGCUAUAUCUUAAUUUCCUAGACCUACUGCCUGGCCUGCUGGACAUUUUGACUUGGUCUCCCAGGGUGUAGUUGGCAGUGUCUGAAACAUUCUGAAUCCAAGAAGGAAGAGAAUUAUAAAGGUAGGUUUAUUCUUUUUGAAGAUAAAGAAGCUUUGCCUGUGAGAUAGGUCGUGUUCUAGUUUGCAUAAAGAGCAACCCCUCCAUUCUUA
rnacentral:lncRNA from 1 species